rnacentral:rRNA from 1 species
AUUGAACGCUGGCGGCAGGCCUAACACAUGCAAGUCGAGCGGAUGAAGGGAGCUUGCUCCUGGAUUCAGCGGCGGACGGGUGAGUAAUGCCUAGGAAUCUGCCUGGUAGUGGGGGAUAACGUCCGGAAACGGGCGCUAAUACCGCAUACGUCCUGAGGGAGAAAGUGGGGGAUCUUCGGACCUCACGCUAUCAGAUGAGCCUAGGUCGGAUUAGCUAGUUGGUGGGGUAAAGGCCUACCAAGGCGACGAUCCGUAACUGGUCUGAGAGGAUGAUCAGUCACACUGGAACUGAGACACGGUCCAGACUCCUACGGGAGGCAGCAGUGGGGAAUAUUGGACAAUGGGCGAAAGCCUGAUCCAGCCAUGCCGCGUGUGUGAAGAAGGUCUUCGGAUUGUAAAGCACUUUAAGUUGGGAGGAAGGGCAGUAAGUUAAGACCUUGCUGUUUGGACGUUACCAACAGGAUAAGCACCGGCGAACUUCGG